rnacentral:lncRNA from 1 species
GUGCGUACCACAGAAGAGGUCACCACAUCGACAUUUGAAUCCAGUCAAACCAACCCGUUUGUUGCAAGUAGUACAUCGGCUGGGCCCUUCCUUUGGUUUUGCUGCAGCUUCUUCUGGUGCUACUACCUCUGCAACAGCUUGUACAGAGACAGCCACAGGCUCGAUGGAUUUGGUUCCAGCAUCAACCAAAUCAGCAGUGAAGGUUUCCUUUAGGAUGUUGCUGGGUGAUCCAGACACUGCAGAUGCAAGCUUGGCCCCCUGUUCCUGUUGAAACAAGAUAGUCUUGUGGCACUUGGAACACAUGUUCAUUGUGGCAGCGCUUCCGAAGAAACCGCAGU